UUCUUAUCGGUGUGCUGGCACGGAAAAAUUUGAGUUUUCAGGAAGGUGUUGUUACCUAUAGGAAA
rnacentral:tRNA from 1 species